rnacentral:lncRNA from 1 species
AGCUUGUACCUAGUAGAGCGAGAUUGAGUCGGGCAAGGAGCGGGGUAGCUCUUUGCCUAGGACCUUUGAGAUUGAGUCGGGCGAGGAGCGGGGUAGCUCUUUGCCUAGGACUUUCGAGAUUGGGUCGGACAUAUGAGAUGCGAGUCGGGCAAGGAGCGGGGUAGCUCUUUGCCUAGGACCUUGAGAUUUGAGACCUUAGGCAAGUUGGCCUAAUUGAUUGGGUGGUAACAGGAAUUGCAUAAGUGGAUUGCAUUCAUACCAUGAUUUGACAUAGUAGACUGCAUAACUAUGUUGUAGUUGUAUUCAUUACACUGUUGAAAUAUACUAGCAUGAUAGUAGGUUAUUGCUAGAUGACAAUCCAUGCAUCCUUUGUUCUAGUGUCCUAAAGAGGCACUAGACUUAGUGAAUGUUGAAACUUUACUUUGAGAUAUAGACUAGACCCUUGGGGUUACUAGUGGCUAUUCCAUGUUAGAGACAUGAUGACGAGAUCCGUGACAUGAUGACUGUGGUUACUUGCCAUUUGUGCUCAUUCGCACAUGCUUGUGAGGGUCGCUCCCUACAAGCCGGCACUCCGGAGUUGGCCUUUUGCGACACAGUUCGCGCGUGCUGAAUUGAGACGCCUGUAGGGUCGCGUGGGACAGCCUCAUUCCAGCGUGGGAUGAUGAGCUACCACGGGCAGCUAGGCGGCGAGGCGCUUGUAGGGUCGUGUGGGACAGACUCAUUCCUAGCGUGGAAUGAUGGGCUACCACAGGCAGCUAGGCGGCACAAGCCGGACUACACUUGUGUAGGUCCUAAAGCAAGA